AGAGGGGGCGAGCGUUAUUCGGAAUCAUUGGGCGUAAAGGGCGCGUAGGCGGCCGUGCAAGUCUUGGGUGAAAUCCCUCGGCUCAACCGAGGAACUGCCCUGGAAACUGCACGGCUCGAGGCCGGGAGAGGAUGGUGGAAUUCCCAGUGUAGCGGUGAAAUGCGUAGAUAUUGGGAGGAACACCGGUGGCGAAGGCGGCCAUCUGGACCGGUCCUGACGCUGAGGCGCGAAAGCGUGGGGAGCAAACAGGAUUAGAUACCCUGGUAGUCCACGCCCUAAACGAUGGGUACUCGGUGUCGCGGGUAUCGACCCCCGCGGUGCCUUAGCUAACGCGUUAAGUACCCCGCCUGGGGAGUACGGUCGCAAGGCUG
rnacentral:rRNA from 1 species